rnacentral:rRNA from 1 species
UACGUAGGGGGCAAGCGUUGUCCGGAAUCAUUGGGCGUAAAGCGCACGUAGUCGGCUUUGCAAGUCGGGUGUGAAAUCCCCGGGCUCAACCUGGGAACUGCAUCCGAGACUGCAUUGCUAGAGUAUGGGAGAGGGAAGCGGAAUUUCUGGUGUAGCAGUGAAAUGCGUAGAUAUCAGAAGGAACAUCAGUGGCGAAGGCGGCUCCCUGGACAAAUACUGACGAUCAGGUGCGAAAGCGUGGGAGCAAACAGG